GUGUAAAUGCCCUUAAGUCGACUGCGCUUUAGAAUCACUUGGGGAUCAUCUAAAAAAUACCAAUUCCUGGGGCCAACCCCUAGGGAGUCUGAUUUCACUGGUCUGAGGCCACGCCUCCUCAUCCACACCGUUUAAAAAGCUUCCCAAGCCAGGCAACAACUGAGCUGAGCGUCUGGACCUGAACCGCCCUGCAGGGAAAGGCAACGGAAGCUCUUGCUAGGGUAGCAACUAUGAGCUCAAAUCCACCGUCCCCCUCCCCGACUUCAGGACUCCAGGUUGUGGUUCGAACCCGCCUUUGGCAGCUCCUUCAAACGGGAACCAGCCCCAUCACUUUGUAACGUUCGGCGUUGGCGCAGGGGUCUGCAGCUUCCGCCUGCCCGAAACUUGGUGCUGGCUGACCCUGAAGGCGGCCCUGUGAGAGGGAGGCAAGAGAGCGAGCUGAUCCGGGCACCGCACAGGCGGAGGCCGAGACUCUGUCAGGAGUGGAGUGGAAAUAUCACAGAAGGAAAAGUACCCAAGAGCAGAAACCCCAUUCUUCCCCUCCUGGAGGCCGCAGUGAAGAGGAAACACUGGGCUGUAAAGCAGAAAGUAAGAUGGGAAGGGGGUACGGGAGCCCAUUCCAUCUACUGACUUCCCGCUGCUUCCUAAAAUGCAUCCCUCGGGCCAGGAAGGCUUGUGUCCUCAUGGUUUUCUGCACCAUCACCUGCUCAACAAACAAGUAUUGAGGCCCUAUCUAUGCUGGGUACUCUGCUAGAUACCAGGGACAUAGCAAUGGUAUUAAUAUUAUCCUAAAUUAUUAUUAUAACGAUGAUGAUGGCUGUUAUUUACUGGGAGCUCACUUGUGCCAGGCAGGAUUCUAAGCACUUUGCGCCUAUUAUUUUCCCCAUUUUACAGAUGAGAAAAUAAGGCACCUACCAACCUGUGAAGAACUUCUGGUCUAGAAGUGAGGUGAUUAGUGUUUUAAACGUGGCUGUGACAACCCACACCAAGGAUGACUAACCUUGACUUUGCUUUGGGAGACAGAGUCACAAAAGGGGGCCUGUUGUUGGGACCCACCUGGGAAAUUUAAAUCAAGGUCCAUCAGCAGAAACUCCCAGAAGGUGCCUGUGAUUGGUUGGUAAGGUUGGGGAUCUGGCCCAGCAUUCCAGGGCCAGCUCCUGGCAAAUGGCGCCUGGUUAUGUGGAAGCUAGAGCUCCCCUGGGAGGGAGCUGAGCCAGGCUAGCCCUGUUAGGUUGGUCAUCCGCGGCACCUCAUCUUUCUAAAAUUGGCGAGACCCUAGAGGGAGAGAAUAGAGAAGACAGAGAGCCUAUCAGUACUGGGAGCAGAGUUGAGCAGGGGAGGGGUGGGCCCAUGCCAGGCACCCUUGCACUCUGCCAUCUGGAAGGGCAUAGAGAGGAUAACAUGGCCCCUGCCUGGGAUCCCACUGUGGAGACUCAGGGUCAGGUAGGAAAAAAACUCCCCUGAGUGGGAACAAGAUGCUUCCCAGUGUGAAUGUGAAUCAGAGACCUGGGUGGGUGGGGUGUUGAGCCUGAUUCUGGGGGUGAAGAAGGAGCGGGGGUAGGCUCAGGCUGGGGAAUCUGUCCACCCUGUUGGCCAAGCUGACCCGUGCUGCUUCUGCCUUUAGUCACACACAGUGGGUCACCCCCAGGUCAUCACCAGCCUCGCUUCCUCACACUCAGAGGACCAAGGCACUGGCUGUACGACUACAAGAGGACAACCAGCAUUUUGAGCCACCUACAUGGCAUCGGGUUCUGAGCAGGGCAGCAUACAGAGCCCACCAGUGUUCACUUAUAGAAAUAACCUUCUAGAGUGCCCAGCCCCAGAAAACAGUGCCAAAGCCCCAUCUGACUUUUAUCUGGUUUGCACCCUGGGCAAGGAUUUUCAGAACGAAUUGGUCACACUUCUCAAGAGUCUGUAAUCAUUUUACUAGCAGAAAUGGACAUAGCAGGGUCCAAAUGAUGGAGACAGCAAGUCCUCUUGGAUCGGGUGUUCUAGGAAGAACCGUUUAUGUGGCCUCAUACAGGUAUGCAGAUAAAUGCACACAAGCACCCACUGUUCCAGAGGAAGGGUAUAAUAGAACAUUUUGGUAGAUGAAUCUUAAAGAUUGUGGUGAAGAGGUGCACAAAUUUUUGAAAAGUCCAUGGAGCCUUCUGAAAG
rnacentral:lncRNA from 1 species